rnacentral:rRNA from 1 species
UACGUAGGGGGCAAGCGUUGUCCGGAUUUAUUGGGCGUAAAGAGCGUGUAGGCGGCUGGGUAGGUCCGUUGUGAAAACUCGAGGCUCAACCUCGAGACGCCGAUGGAAACCCUCCAGCUAGAGUCCGGAAGAGGAGAGUGGAAUUCCUGGUGUAGCGGUGAAAUGCGCAGAUAUCAGGAAGAACACCCGUGGCGAAGGCGGCUCUCUGGGACGGUACUGACGCUGAUGCGCGAAAGCGUGGGUAGCAAACAGG